AGCAUAUGGAGUUCCUGGGCCAGGAAUGAGAUCCAAGUCACAGCUUCGACCUAUACCACAGCUGCAGCAAUGCUGGAUUUUUAACCUACUGUGCUCGGCAGAGGAUCGAACCUGAGCCCCAGUGCUCCAGAAAUGCCACAGAUCCCAUUGCACCAUAGCAGGAACUCAGAAACUCCCCAGCUUCUAAUUUCUCCCUGGAAGGGAUUUGACUUCAUAUCUAAUGUCCUGGUAUUCCCAGCUGCUGCUGGAAGGUUGAGCUUCUUACUAGCAUGCAUCUGGAAGCUGAUGGUACAGGAAAUUAAUAGUCUUUCAGGAUCCUGAACAGAAUUCUCCAAAGUAUCACUGGCUGCCCCAGCACCUAGCAGUUGGAACAGGGAAUCAACAUUUGGGAGCUGAUGGGCUCCAUAUACUAGGAAUCUCAGUUCUAAGACAUCUCCCUACUUCUUCCAGAAACUAGGAAAAGAAUACUGAAGAGAAUUAAGUGGAAAAGACACACAAAAAUGAAGACCUGAAUAAAAGGAGAAACAUACCACAUUCAUGUAUGAGAAGAUUAUAAAGAUGAUAGCUCUCCAAAAAUUACUCUAUAAUUCAGUGAGACUCCAAUUGUAACUCCAAUGGUAUUUGUGGUGAAAACUUGACAAGUUGUUUCUAAAGCUCUCCUGGAAGAACAAGUACAUGAAAAAAAAAUUAAAAACCAAUGAAGGUCUUUCUCUACUAGAUAAAGUUAUUUAAAAUUAGGCACAUAAGAACAUACAGCAGUCACACUAAUCACAAUGCAAUUAAAACUAUAUAUAUAUAUGCAUAUUUUAUAUAAUUCAUUAUAUAUAUAUAUUUCAAUGUAUAUUAUGGAUCUCUCUCUCUCACAUACACACACCCACCCAAGUAGUAGUUCAAACCAGAAAACUCAACAUGAAGCAUCACAGUAAAUGGAUCAAAAAAGAAAUGUAAAUUAUAAUCAAACAAAUUCAUCAAAUAAAACAAGAACACUACUUAUGAGGUUAAGUCAAUACUAUAUAUGUUCUCUUAUAAGAAAAUAAAAAAAAAUCUUAUAUUCUCUUAUUACAAGAUAAAAAAGAAUUACUUCUGGGAGUCAAAGAAGAUAAGGGGACAGAAAAAAUAUGUAAAUAAAUAAUAGCCCAAAACUUGCCAAAUUUCAUGAAAAAAAUACUAAUCUAUACAUGCAAGAAGAUCAAUGUAUGCCCAAAAGGAUAAAGUCAAAGAAACUCAAAUCUAGACUCAUGAUAGUCAAACUGACUUCAGAAUCUUGAAUGCACCAAGAGAAAAACAACUCAUCAUGUACAAUGGAUCCUGAAUAAGUUGAUGACUUCUCAUCAUAAACCACAGAGAUCAGAAAACAGUAGGAUGAUAUAUUCAAACUGCUGAAGGAAAAAGAAUGUCAACUGAUAAUUCCAUAUCCAGCAAAACCAUCCCUGAUAAAUGAAGAAGAAAUCAUGACAUUCCCAGAUAAACAAAAAUUCAAAUAAUUCAGUGCUAGCAGACAUGUCAUACAAGGGAUACAAAAUCAAUUCCUUCAGGCAGGAAUGAAGAGAUACUAGAAAGUAAUUCACAUGUACAUGAAAAAUAAGAGCACCAAUAAAAUAGCUUCAUGAAUAAAUAUGAC
ensembl:lncRNA